rnacentral:rRNA from 1 species
UACGGAGGAUGCAAGCGUUAUCCGGAUUUAUUGGGCGUAAAGCGUCCGCAGGUGGUUGUUCAAGUCUGCUGUUAAAGCGCGAGGCUUAACCUUGUACAGACAGUGGAAACUGAGCGACUAGAGUAUGGUAGGGGUAGCGGGAAUUCCCAGUGUAGCGGUGAAAUGCGUAGAUAUUGGGAAGAACACCAGCGGCGAAAGCGCGCUACUGGGCCAUUACUGACACUCAUGGACGAAAGCUAGGGGAGCGAAAGGG